rnacentral:rRNA from 1 species
UACGAAGGGGACUAGCGUUGUUCGGAAUUACUGGGCGUAAAGCGCGCGUAGGCGGAUCGCUAAGUCAGGGGUGAAAUCCCAGGGCUCAACCCUGGAACUGCCUUUGAUACUGACGAUCUGGAGAUCGGGAGAGGUGAGUGGAAUUCCGAGUGUAGAGGUGAAAUUCGUAGAUAUUCGGAGGAACACCAGAAGCGAAGGCGGCUCACUGGCCCGAUACUGACGCUGAGGCGCGAAAGCGUGGGAGCAAACAGG